CCUGUUGAGUUUAAUAAUAUAAUUAAGUGGAUGUAAAGAAACUUACAAGGAUUUUCCUAGUAACAGCGAGCGAACUGGGAAGAGCCCAACAUGAAAAUUGGGUGGCAACGCCGCCUGAAUUGUAGUCUGUAUAAGCGUCCUUAGUGGCAGACCGGGCCCAAGUCCCCUGGAAGGGGGUGCUUGAGAGGGUGACAGCCCUGUCGGGCCAGAACCCUGCCGCACCACGAGGCAUUGUUGAUGAGUUGGGUUGUUUGGGAAUGCAUCCCUAAUCGGGUGGUAAAUUCCAUCCAAGGCUAAAUACGAGCCAGAGACUGAUAAUAAACAAGUACUACGAGGGAAAGAUGAAAAAGACUUUGAAAAUAGAGUUAUAGAGUGCUUGAAAUUUCUGAGAGGGAAGUGGAUGGAGGCCAACGAUGCGUCUCGAUUGCAUGUGGAAUGACUCAAGCUGGUCCGCCGCUCGACUCGAGGUGCGAAACAACACAGGACAUUGCAUCGACACAAGCGUGGGUGGAGUACUGCCUGUUGGUUUGUCGUUGUGGCGGUCGAGGAGCAGAGAAAUCAAGGGAUUCCACCAACACUCAUUUAAAUUAUUUUUAAUCACUUGCCAAUACUUCUUUUAGUUUGUUGAUAUUGAGCUCGCACAUGAGGUAUUUUAUAUCUAUGAGGAUUUAGGAUCAAUUUUUCAAGCCUCAAUUUGAUGUGUAAAUAUUU
rnacentral:ncRNA from 1 species